rnacentral:rRNA from 1 species
AUUGAACGCUGGCGGCAUGCCUUACACAUGCAAGUCGAACCGCAGCACGGGUGCUUGCCCCUGGUGGCGAGUGGCGAACGGGUGAGUAAUACAUCGGAACAUGUCCUGUAGUGGGGGAUAGCCCGGCGAAAGCCGGAUUAAUACCGCAUACGAUCUACGGAUGAAAGCGGGGGACCUUCGGGCCUCGCGCUAUAGGGUUGGCCGAUGGCUGAUUAGCUAGUUGGUGGGGUAAAGGCCUACCAAGGCGACGAUCAGUAGCUGGUCUGAGAGGACGACCAGCCACACUGGGACUGAGACACGGCCCAGACUCCUACGGGAGGCAGCAGUGGGGAAUUUUGGACAAUGGGCGAAAGCCUGAUCCAGCAAUGCCGCGUGUGUGAAGAAGGCCUUCGGGUUGUAAAGCACUUUUGUCCGGAAAGAAAUCCUUGGCCCUAAUACGGUCGGGGGAUGACGGUACCGGAAGAAUAAGCACCGGCUAACUACGUG